UUCGACUCCUGGCGGCCAUCUCAGUUGUUCCUUACCGCAGUGGAAGGAGGAUAUGUCGAGCCACACCACAAAGAGCACAGAUUGGCUGGCUGGCCCUGACUCUCACUUCUUCUUCCCUCCUCGUGGCUUGAUUUCUUCUGAGAUGUUCCAUAAAGCUUCUUCGUUAAGGAGCCGAGCCUGAGACAACUCUCCGCGACACAAGAGUCCGUACUCAAAAUCUGUCAGUGUUUCUAGGGUAUCGUUGGAUAAAUCGAUGAUGGCAAGGUCAUCCACCAAGCGCACCAAGAGAGAGAAGGCAUUCUUGGCAGCCCUCUGCCUUUCAGUGUCUGGGCUGCUGACAAACCUGUUGUAACGCUUCAGUAACUUGUGAACAAGUUCAUCAGGAGAGAUAAAGGUAAAAUGAAUGACUUGGUGACACUUCAUGUUCCUGCGCUUCCAUUCUGCCUUAGCCUCUUCAGGUGCAACUUGGUUGGGAAAAUGUGGCUCUCUCACAUGAUGGACUUGUACCACCACCACCACCACCAUCACUUCUAUUUGCUGCCACUCCAAUGCACAUUAAUCUGGGUUAACUUGAAUGACUUAAAAACUUUACUACAUCAAACAAACACAGUAACUAAGGGACAGAUCAUCCAGUAUUUGUGCUAAUCAUCAUAAAAAAAAAUCAGCUCAAGCCUUACCAUCCUUUUCCUCAUCCUCUGUUAACCAUGAAAGAAAACACCAAAAAAUGUAGUAGGAUAAUUCAAUCUAUCUUAAAUUUACCAAGUAAACAAAUUAUUCAAUGGUUAGUAGUAGUAUAUUUUAAAUUUGGGCCUAAUCAAGAGAUACUGAAGAGAUGAGGAAGGUUUGGUCAGUGACAAAAAUGUAAAAAAGCUGCCGAGAAGCAAGUCUUGUAUGCAUCACCCUGCAAAACACAAAUUUAAAGGGCAGUGUCAGCCAGUGGUGCCAGAGAUCAAAAUGCAUCAAAAAUCACUCUGACCACUUGCAUAGUUGUAAAGAAUUAGUAAAAAGUAGGUGCAAAAUAUUUCCUCCCAUCUGUCAUUAAAAAAGAACCAUGACUUAACUAACACUUAACUGCCCCCCUAGAAAGACUCACUACUUCUUUAGAGAGACCUUUCAUUCUUCCUUGAGCAAACUCCACACUUAGGCUCAGGAAUUUCUUAAUAACAACCUGUGACAUUUUAAAACUCCCUUUCUUUCCCUUCCUGCAUUUGUCACCACUCUGAGCCAGGGUCCUUCUCUCUGAAUCAGCAAGACAUGUCAAAAGUCAGUGCUUGUACCAAACUCACUUUCACCAUGUAUUGUGUUUCCCCUCAAUCUUAACCUCUCAGUGGCUUUAACUGUAAUUUUUGAAGGAUCUUGGCAAUAAUAAUUUUGGUUGACUUUGACUCUUCCAGCACAAUAUUACACAGGAGCAAAAUAUGGUGAAAGUGGAGGAUGAGGGUCACUGGAGUUUUGAUGAUGACCGCACUGAUUCUAUUACACUUGGCAUGUUGGUGCCAAUGUACCUAUGAGACAAGAACACUCAUCUAACUCUGUCUGUAGGGAUCUGAAGGAGAGCACAUGAAGGGUAUACACUAGUUUAGAAUGGGGAUUAGUAGGAAAAACAACAGUUGCUGGAAAAGUUACCAUCAUUCCCAACAUUAGAGUAAGUGUAUGAAUUCCCAGAGAUGUGUCAGUUACUAGCAAUUUUCAAUAGUUACCCUCAGCAAUUGCUUGAGUGCUUACAACCCAAUAGUUACUGCUUGUACUCCUCUUUCCAUACUCAUGCAACACUUAGAUGUAACCAGAGUUCAAUGAGAGCAAGCAACACUACCUCAUGUAUUAUCUAGUAGUGUGAGAACAGCAAUAAAUUAUUUGAAUACUCUGAUGAACAAACAAAGGAGGGUUUAAAAACAUCUGUUAGAAGGACACAUCACCAUACCAUUCUUAUUUGCUUUAGAUGCAUGGACAAUGAGAGCAUCAACUGGACCACCACGGAUCUCUGGACCUUCUUCUCCCUCUUUCUUGAGUAUUAGGUAUUCCCUCACAUCAAGCAGAUCCAGCAGGCUGUCCUCCUCUUCUUCAUCCUCCACUUCUUCCCUAGUGUCUACAUUGUUGUGUCUGUCAAUUUCAACUGACUGGUCCUUGAUUAUCACCUCCUCUGGCUCGUCCUUCUCCUCCAUUGACUUGCGGUAUGCAGUACUUUCAGCUCUGAGAUAAAACAAGAGAUAAAAAUUACAAGUGGACAUUCUUUAAGGACUAUACUAUAAUGAUCCACAAAAUUGAUAUACAGUGCUCAAAAAAAGUCAGUAGAGAAGUUUUUCUAAUAUAUGAGGAAAGUGCGAUAGUAUAUAAAUAAAUAAAGGGGAGUUCUAGUGAGGCAUGUAUAGAUAGGGCAACCAGCAGCAUUUCUCCCUUCCAAGAACUCCAAGAAGGGAUCUCAAACAUGAUGGUCAAAAACAGACAUCAUAUAUCUCACAUACUUCAAAUCACUCAAAAUGUGAACACAAACUACAGUGGAACUUGUACUUACAAAACAAGAGAAUUAUCUGGAGUGACAUCAAUGGUGGUGGCCAUGGCAGAGGAGGGCAGGGACGAUGGUGGUGAAGAUUGCCGGGUCAGUGGUCUGUGUGCCCGCCUCUUAGGUGGCAGGGCUGGGGGCUUUGCCAUCUUGUCAUCCUCACUGUAACAAGAACCCACAUCAUACUACACAGCAAAGAGGAGGUGGGUGGUCAUCACCGCUGCUCAAGGUGACGUGAUGCACGUCAAAUUGCUGUUGUCGACGCAACUGGACCACAGUGCUUCCAUCUUGACUACUGGUGGUGCUUCUGUUGCUCAACAUUCCUCGGGACUCAUAGCUACUGAUGGUGGUGGUGCUGCUGCUGUUCCCCAUGUUCCUUGUCUUGGGGGGCAGCUCUGGACUUGGACCUUCCUGCAGGAAACAAACAAAUUCAUUCAUUUAUUACAAAUCCUGAACCUUCACCUAUGUUAAAGAGAUAAAUCAUAAGUAAAAGGCUGAAAUAUCAUGCAGAUUCCUUGGACAUAGAAAACUAAAGGACAAAAGACUGAUGGAUCAGGUAAUGAAGAUAAAUGGAAGGUGUUAACAGGGUUUAGAAGGAAAAAUACACUGCUAAUAUGAGAUGCAGGAGAAGUCAAAACAUAAAACAGGGUGUGAAUAUUAUUAAUGCUAUCUUCUACAAUGUACCAAAGUAGUAAGCCUGAGCAGAUGUUUGUGUGUGUGUGUGUGUAGCUCUCCUGGUACCUGGGAAGUGGAGUCAUCAUAGUUUCCUUGCUCCAGGUUGUCAUAGGUGGAGUGGACUCGGCCUGGGGUGAGGCGUGGUCUGUCGUGCCACCUUGGUGCCAAGAGGCAUUUGGCACUAUUGUCGCAUUUAUCUACCUGUAAGAAUUGUUAUCCAUUAUUCAUCAAGACACCAUGAACAAAUGAUACAAUAAUAGAACAAUGAUGAUAACUGUAUAUUGUGUAAGAUGAGGACUGCUAACUUAGUUUUCUCUUAUAAACAUUCACAUUUGAUUUUACUUAGUUUCUAUCUAAUAAACUAGAAUCGAACAAGAAUGUAAUGCUUGGUCAAUAACAGUACAACACAGCAUGUAUUCUACUAGUCAGACUAGACAUGAAUAGGAUGCCAAACACAGCUGUGACUGACUGCUCCAAAAACAAGAUGGUCAAAAAGGUACCAGGACGAUUGUAACCAUGGUGCAUUCAGCUCAUCAAACUCCUGCCAUGUUGCAUUGAUGAAGAGCUGGCACUGAAUGGCUGAUAGACAGACUGCAGCAAUUUGACAUGAACGGGAGACUACACAUCACAAGAAUUUUCAAAUUCAUGGUUAUAUUCUCCUGGAACUUAACUGAGAAGCCAAGCGACCACACAAGUUUGUCAGGAUACUGUAGUAACCACACACAUCAGUUAUCACACAAAUUUAGUCCUUUAAUACAUAUAGGCUUUCAUGCACAGCCCUAGUAACACCUUAUCAUUUCUGAAAUCUUCCAAGCUUAAUGUGUCAAUGUAUCACUGCUGCAGCCUCACUCUGUUCCACAUUUAACACAGGUCCCUUCAAUGCUAUUUGGGAGCUUAUGUUUGUCUAUCAGAAAAGUGCUACAAUCCUAAAGCCUCCAUUAUUGGCACACUAUCAGCACACAGUCUUGGCAUGCCAGGACAGUAGAGCAUCAUUGUUCCCUAACAUAACAUUCUUGUUUUUCAUAUUCUCUCACUUUCACAUCUCAUAUAUUAUUAGAUCAAGGAGACAAAAUAUCAGAAUGAAAAAUGUAAUACCAAUGAUUGAUAAAUCUUACAUUUUUCAAGAGUGUUAUCAUUAUGAAAGACAAGAAAAUCUCAUACUGAAAAGAGUAACAAUGGUAAAGAGUUCAAACUCAUUCAUAAUUCUACUCGAGUGCAAAGUACAGUAAUAGUGACAGAAGAGCACACUACACGCUAUCAUGCAUGUCCAGGACACACACACACACACACACACACACACACACACACACACACACACA